UCUGGCCAUUGUUUCCACAAUGCUUUAGGUACAAAUGGAACUGCUCAGAGAGAACAGUGGGGUGGGUGGUAACGGGGCAUGGAAGUGAUGCACAAGCAAGCUAAAGCGUAAAAGUAAAGAGCUAUGGCUACUUGCAAAAGGACAGGCUGAAAAUAUAAAUUCAGAAGUGCACUAGGCUGUCAAAGCUGGUCAGUGCUGGCAGGAUACUGUUACCCGCUCUAUUUUAUUUCUUUGUAUCUCACAUAUAUUUUUCAGCAACACCCUAGUUAUGGAAAAGACUCAAAAAUACCAACGAAAAGAGGACUGGGGCAACAUCAUGAAAUUCAAGUCUUUAACGAGCCACCAUUCAAGAUAUUUAGAAGUGUUCUUCCUUUUCAUAGUAUUCUAAAUAAUGUUACUGCUGCUGUUCUAUGGGGAUUCUUCAAUGCAAGAGAAAUAUCUCCCCUGGCUGUGUGCAGUCAGCUCUAGUUUGAAUGUAAGAGAAUAUCUUUGAGUUGGUCUUCAUCAUCACCCAGAAUCACACUACUGGGAAUGGCAGCAGUAUCCUUUGGCACUGUGAAGUCACCUCCAGAAAUAUUGGCUCAUGGCUCUCCUCAGGUUAUGCCAAUAUCAUACGAGGUAGUAAAGUGUGAUUCCAGCAGACCCAGAGACUGCCUCUUGGAGAACCUGGCACAUGAUCACUGGCCCUUUUUGAAAUGACAAGCAAGCCACAACAAAAGAACAGGAGUCCAUUAUUUUGGAAGUAAGUGUUUCUGUACCUGGACGCUAUGUUCUCAUCAAGUGGUAGAGAUGCACAAAUUUUCUUUAGCAAUACUGCCAUUUUGCUUGCUUGGA